rnacentral:rRNA from 1 species
CCAACAGGGAUUGCCCUAGUUACGGCGAGUGAAGCGGCAACAGCUCAAAUUUGAGAUCUGGCGUCUUUGGCGUCCGAGUUGUAAUUUGCAGAGGGCGCUUUGGCAUUGGCAGCGGUCCAAGUUCAUUGGAACAGGACGUCACAGAGGGUGAGAAUCCCGUACGUGGUCGCUAGCCUUUACCGUGUAAAGCCCCUUCGACGAGUCGAGUUGUUUGGGAAUGCAGCUCUAAAUGGGAGGUAAAUUUCUUCUAAAGCUAAAUACUGGCCAGAGACCGAUAGCGCACAAGUAGAGUGAUCGAAAGAUGAAAAGCACUUUGGAAAGAGAGUUAAAAAGCACGUGAAAUUGUUGAAAGGGAAGCGCUUGCAGCCAGACUUGCCUGUAGUUGCUCAUCCGGGUUUUUACCCGGUGCACUCUUCUACGGGCAGGCCAGCAUCAGUUUGGGCGGUUGGAUAAAGGGCUCUGUCAUGUACCUCCUUUCGGGGAGAACUUAUAGGGGAGACGAAAUGCAACCAGGCUGGACUGAGGUCCCCGCAUUUGCUAGGAUGCUGGCGUAAUGGGUGUAAGCGGCCCGUCUUGAAACACGGA